CAGAACAUUAAUUUACAACUUCCAUAUAAAUUUUUGAGCUUUGUAGAUUUAUGGGCAUGUCCGAAAGCAUACGUUUUAAUUUGUAUCUUUCCAUCGAGAAGUAUAUAUGCAGAAUUGUUUUCCUUUCUUUUUGAUCUGAAAGGUGUUGCAGUAUAUUGAGCGUAUCGCUAUUCCUGAUUGUGCAUCAGUUGCUGAACAAUAACACCUAAACCAUUUGUGUAUAUAAUAAUCGUGUACAUAGAACAUCUGAUUAAAGUCUUCAAGUACAGCGGAAUAUUUUACCCACCACCUACUUGGAAAUCUUUGCAUCUUCAUUUUACUUCUUAGACUGUCAUUUAAUGUUAUUUGACAGGUUUCCUACAUCAUACUUUUCGUUAGCAUAAUAGAGAAUACAAACAUAUUGCUAAUUAUUAUAUGUAGUUAAGUAUAACUUCGAUAUCCUUAAUCGUCACGUAGUAUCAAUCCCGCUUUAACUGAUCUCUGGUCAAUGAUCCUAAACUGCUUUAAAAACUAUACUUGAGGCGCCUCUAAACCUCAAGCAACAAUGCAAAAGUUUAAGUAAUGAUCUUCGAGUCCAUUCAAUAUGAAUUUUAUUAAAAAGUGUACCUAAAACCAAGGUUAAGAGUUAAAAUUUGAAUCAGAACCUGCCUUACCAUCUCUGUAUCAAAUUUGAUUCUGAGAAUUAACCAGGCUUUCCAUAAGUUUCACUAUAACACAGUUUUCACAAAGUCUCCGUCCAGGAAUUACAUCGAGUUUCAGAUUGAGAUAUAAAAACUACUGUUACAGCUUUUCCCCGUUUUACCAAUGCAGAGUUCAGCAGAAAAAGAACGAAUGAAGCGACUGAACUCUGACGGAAAAAUUACCAUAAAUACAUUGUGGUGAGCAGCACGCACCAUUCCAAUCUAAUUGAGAGAAUGAUUAUUGCAACUGACAAAAAAACAACGUCACCGACCUAUUGACAGUGUCAAUGCGGCGGAUUGUAUUAUCUGACACGAAAAAUGAUGAGACAAGCCAACUACAGUGACGCAGAAAAAUCACCAGCUUCUUAAACAUGACAUUGUCGUUCGUGCGCAGACUCUGAAAAAGAGUUGGUGGCCUCUAGCAGAGUUGUGUCACCUAUGACCAAAAGAAAGAAACGCUCUUAAUAACCAGAUGUUGUCAGGACAGCUGAGUUUGUUGAGCAAAUCUAGAAUAACAUUAACAACCCGUGCAAGUCGAUGAGGUUCAUUGCUGGGCACCUCAGUGUCGCAGCCCACUAUCAGACACGUGUGCACGAGAUAUCAAAUAUUGGCCAAAACACAAUCCCAGCACUGGUCAGAAGGGCUGGUAGGAAGAAUAUAACAACGGUUCUUGCACAUUGGAAGUCACGAAGUGUCACAUCUGGUCUGUGAAUGUUGUGGAAAAUCGGAACGAAAAAAGCAGUGGAGGAAGUUCACCAAUUUUAGGGUCUGACGGAGCCCAAACCUCUGUAGACCUAAGCAUAGCCGAUUUCUCCAAGGAAAAGAGAAACAGAGACAGAGAUAGAGAUAGGAUGAGAAAUGGAGAGAGACAGGGAAACGGUGAAGAAGAGAAUGAAAAAGAAGAAUCAACCGCUUUAGAAGACUAGUACUUUAUUUUUCGAUCUCGAAAGGAUUGAGGGCAAAUAUGCUACCUUCUCGUCAUAUAAGCAAAUGUAUUUGUCUACACUCCAUUAGUUGUUUAUAACAUCAUCCAAACAUGUUAUUUUGUGUUCUGGGACGUACAUGUUGCACUGUUAUAUAGUGCUACGUUGUCUCCUUUCACUUUUCAUCUUAGUUUACCAGUGUUUUAUUUUACAAUAAACAGGCCUAUGCUUUUCA
rnacentral:lncRNA from 1 species